GUGUAAGGGCGGGCUUUGGUCGCAGCUGCGGGGUGGAGGAGCGGGUGCGUGCAUCUCCUCAUCCUCCCUUCUCCCUUUUGGGAGCAUCACAGGAAGGGGCCACAGAGAACCCAGCCUCAGCUCCCCUUCACUUGGCAGGCUUCUGUCAAAGCCAAAGGCCAGCACUGGGCUGCAUGUGAACCGGGGUGGGGGCACCUGGGCACCAUUGUCAGGCGCUGCCCUGACUCACUUCCGGUCUUGAACAGUCCACUGCUUCACACUCCCCUUGGGUCAAAAUGGGGAGGAAGGUUUUUGUCUCCAAGAAAGCUCCCGAGGAGAACCACAUGUGGCCCCUCCACUGAAGGGCAGACCUUGGCCAGGGGUUCUCCAGGCAACAGGGAGCCCCCAAGGUAUUUUAAGCAUAAGGCUAACAGGAGCACAUUUGCAUCUUGGACUGAUCACCCUGGCAACAGAGAGAAGCUAUUACUUUAAGGCAAGGAGCGCAGGUGCAGGAAAAGAGCCCAAGAGCUGCCUAAGCUUGGAACUGGACCUGGGGGCACCCCGUGGUGGAGGCCCCGGAACCAGCCAGGAGACACCCUUUAGGCCAGGAGCCUGGACCCACCUGUGCCCUCCUGGCAGCUACUCAAAGCAAGGGAGGGGCGCUCCGACCCACAUGGCCGCUGAAGCCUGCUCUGCUCCCAGCCUCCCACUCUGGUCGCUCAAAUGCAAAAUCUGGAGACUUGAAUUAGAUGGAUAGGUGACCCUAACCUGCCAAGCCCCUGAUUCUGUGCUCCUUUUUUAGACUCAGACUGUGUCAGUGGAGGGAGUUGAGGAAAAUGGGGUGCUUUGGAGUAUGAACCAGGGGGAAAUAAUGGGUGAGGGCCGUCUACCCGGCUCCCUUCAUAGAAAAGCCUGAACUGCUUUCUGAGACCCGGGGCUCUCUUUACUGAAUCGGGAGUGACACCUAGCGGCACACGCGCCUCACCAACACAGCGGGGCUGGUGCUCCCUGGGGCUUCGGAGGCUGCGGCACUUGCCCGCUGGUCUCUAAAAGCCUUGGGAGCACCGGGUGCCACUGAUAUUUCCUGGGACUUUCCGGGAAGCGCUGUCUGGCCUGCAUCAACAGCGCGUUCCCUGCAACGUAGGCAACUCUAGUUUACAUGCUCUUCCUAUCUGUAGAGCUGGCUUGGGCACAUCGUCGCUCACUCUCAGGCAGCAAGUUAAGUAUUGAGCUGGAAGCUGCUGUAGAUGCUGGGGGUUCAAACAUGACCAGGUCUUAGUUCUUCCCCUCAAGGAGCUCACAGCCCAGAGAGGAGGCAACAGAGAGGAAAAAACAGUGGACAAAUGUUAAAAA
ensembl:lncRNA